rnacentral:rRNA from 1 species
AAACGUAGGAGGCGUAGCGUUAUCCGGAUUUACUGGGCGUAAAGCGCGUGCAGGUGGUUUCGUAAGUUGGAUGUGAAAGCUCCUGGCUUAACUGGGAGAGGUCGUUCAAAACUGCGAGGCUUGAGAGUGGUAGAGGGAGGUGGAAUUCCGGGUGUAGUGGUGAAAUGCGUAGAUAUCCGGAGGAACACCAGCGGCGAAAGCGGCCUCCUGGACCAUUUCUGACACUCAGACGCGAAAGCUAA